AAAAAUAAUGGAAGUAAAUUUUAAAACGAAAUGGUAUCUGUCAACAAUAAUAUUGAUCCAAACCGCUGGAGUGCUCAAUAGUCUAGAACUUAAAAGGGGCAAUUCUACAUGUAAAUAUAACUUCUAUUUCGAUAACCUAUCGAUGGACUGUAUGGAGUGUCCAUGGGGAAGUUUUGGGGUGAAUUGUUCACAAGAGUGUAUUUUGGGUUUCUAUGGCCGUCUUCGUCAGGUUGCUUGCGAAUGCAAAUCACAACAUUGUAAUCCUGUAAAUGGAUGCCAGAUAAAUGUUACUCAGAAAGGUGUAUUUCUC